rnacentral:rRNA from 1 species
ACGGCUCAGUAACACGUGGUCAAUCUGCCCUUAGGACAGGGAUAUCCACGGGAAACUGUGGCUAAUACCUGGCAGAGGUUAAUUGUUGGAACACAUCUACCUCGAAAGGCAACGCCUAAGGAUGAGACUGCGGCUGAUUAGCUAGUUGGUGGGGUAACUGCCUACCAAGGCUUUGAUCAGUACGGGCUCUUAGCGGAGUUGCCCGGAGAGGGAAUCUGAGACACUAUUCCCAGCCCUACGGGGUGCAGCAGCAGCGAAUCAUUUGCAAUGCACGAAAGUGUGACAAUGCGAACCAAAGUGCCUAUUCAUUUGAAUAUGCUUUUCUUUGCUCUAAAAAUGCAGAGGAAUAAGGACUGGGCAAGACCGGUGCCAGCCGCCGCGGUAAUCCCGGCAGUUCAAGUCGCAUCCACUAUUAUUGGGUCUAAAACAUCCGUAGCUUGUAGUUUAAGUCUCCUGUGAAAUCUUGCUUCUCAAGGGCAAGGCUUGCAGGAGAUACUGGAUUGCUAGAGAUCGGUAGACGUAAAGAGUACACUGGAGGUAGUGGUAAAAUACGUUAAUCUUCGGUGGACUAACAAUCAGCGAAGGCACUUUACGAGGACGAAUCUGACAGUGAGGGAUGAAGGCCAAGGGCGCAAAACGGAUUAGAUACCCGUGUAGUCUUGGCAGUAAACACUGCUCACUAAACAUUGGGCCCUCUUCGGGAGGAUUCAGUGCUGAAGCGAAGGCAAAGAGUGAGCUACCUGGGAAGUAUAGUCGCAAGAUCGAAACUUAAAGGAAUUGGCGGGGGAG